CUCCUCAGCAUUGAACAAUCUCUGAAGUCACUGCCUCCCAGCACUGCUCAGGUUUGCCACAUGGGUAUAUUACCUAAGGCUGCAGUUUAGGCUUCUAAUAUACCCGUCACCCAAGUUGUGAACAUAGUACCCGAUUCUGCUUGAUGUGGAAAAGUGUCCAGGUAAAGAUAGCAAAUUUCUUAUUUCUCUCUUGUUUCUGAGGAUUGUCUUAUUUCUGAUACCAAAGGAAAAACAACGAGGAUUUCUGGGUAAAUUUUUGCUUUUCUGUUAUAGAUACUCUAUAUUGUUUGCUUCUUUUUACUGCUGAAAUCUGGUCAUGAGUUGGAGGUGAAGAGGUACCAUUAAGAUUCUAAUAAUGAAAGUUGCAUGUAAAA
rnacentral:lncRNA from 10 species